UCAGACGGCUUAAACCAUCUCUAAAAUGAAGAUUGGUUAUUUAAAUAGUUUUAGGAAAACUGAUUUCAGCCUAAUCAUUCUUUCGGAGCCGAUAUUUUCCUUGUUUUUUGUUCUUCUCUUUUCUUUUUUCAGAGACAUCAUCAACGCUGAACAAAAAAUUUCAUUCGAUCAAUUAAACAAUUUUCGAAAGUUUCAGAGCAAUUCUUAUUCGAUUAAGGUCUGAAGAAGUGCAGAUUGUGGAAGUUUUAGUUCUAUGUUUUCAAUCUAUGGAGCAAGCAAAAGUGUAUCUUCUUGGUACAAAGCCGUUUGGGAUGCAUUUGGAGCUAUGUGGAAGAGGAGACGCCCAAAGCUCUUGUCAGCUAAUUAUGACUAUUUACUUAAAGAAAGCUGAUGGUUCUCAGGGUAAAUAAUGUUUUUACUUGAAACUUACAGGUGAUGGUUCUCAGGAUAAACCGGUGACACUACACAAAAUCAGCAGUGAAGAUGAUGACGGGAAGAAUGGAGAACCUAAAAUCUUUAGAACUCCUUUUAAUGGAAGCCAGUAAGUAGUCAAUUUCCAGUUCUGCAUUAUCGAACUUUUAUGUUCUGUUUCUUAAUGGUUUCCUCUCUUCAGACUCCAUCUGAAGAAAAGCACAAAGAUUACUGAUUUCCAGCGCCGAGCUGGUCAAUUGCCAGUUCAAAAGGAGGUCUAACUUUAACUAGGAUAUUUGUAGCAACAUUCUCUGCUUAUUUCUCUAUAUCCACAUUUUGUAAUAGUUGGUUCCUUAUUGAAUUGCAGGGUGAUGAUGUGCAUUACGGAGGUGUCAUGCACCGUGAUGGCUCCAUUCUCAUGUUAGUUUCAACAGAUCAAUUAAAGAAUGUUUUAUGUGAAUAACACAAGCAAUCCAGCAUUUAUGGAAACUAACUUUUGUGCUCGCAUAAUCAGACAAGGGUUAUUGCUGCUUUUGAUUUUGAUGCAUAUGCUGCCUAGCUGCUUCAAAUUCUCCGCAAUUUUGGUUCUUCAGGUAUAAGCUCUUUGUUCUGGUUUUCUAUUGCAUAAAUAUUAAAGUUGAUGAUUUCACCGGAUUCGAUGUUCCAUUGAGAAAUGAACUGAGGUUUUGAAUUAAAUUCAAAAAUGGCUGUGUUGAUAAUUUGAGGUUUAAUUUCAAAUUUGAAGAAAUCAUCAACGUUAAAGAAUAAUUAGUUGCACUUUGAGCUAGAUAUCUUUUAAUAUGAGGAAGAUGUAGCAGUUGGUGAAAGUAGAUCACCAAGUUGGACUAAUCUAUUCCAGGACUCAUGAAUGUAGACUCGAGUGCACACUAGUUGGAAUAGUAACCGAUUCAAAUCAAAUUUCUUAGAUAAGGGUAUGCAUUUGCUUAAAGGUAUGAUAAUUUGUAUUUCUUCUAUCUGCUCAGUUUUUUAGCUGCAUUUUUGCUUGAAGCAAUUUGUGCACUUGUAUAUUCAGGUUGUGAUUGUGCUUGGGACUGAACAAUGGGAUUUCGUUUCAUUUUAGUUUUUUUUUUUAA